UACAGAGGUCUCAAGCGUUGUUCGGAUUCAUUGGGCGUAAAGGGUGCGUAGGUGGCAUGGUAAGUCGGGUGUGAAAUUUCGGAGCUUAACUCCGAAACUGCAUUCGAUACUGCCGUGCUUGAGGACUGGAGAGGAGACUGGAAUUUACGGUGUAGCAGUGAAAUGCGUAGAGAUCGUAAGGAAGACCAGUGGCGAAGGCGGGUCUCUGGACAGUUCCUGACACUGAGGCACGAAGGCCAGGGGAGCAAACGGG
rnacentral:rRNA from 1 species